ACAUGCACGUCAAUUGGUUUGAUCGUCUUCAACUCUUGACUCGAUCUUGAUCCUCUAGGUCCAAUUGUGAUCAACUCCUUGAUCCAUCUUCAAUCAACCCUUGAUCUUGAUCCGCGCAUGUUGAGCUUGUUGAUGUACAUAUCGAUCAACCAUCGACGUGCAACACACAUCACAGUUUACAUCCCAGAUUGCUUUAAAAAUUAAAUAAAAAUAAAAAUAAAAUUACUAACCCUUUUUCAUGAGACACGCAGGUCUCUAAUACAUGAAUUUAAGAUGCACGCAGGCAUCUGAAAAUUAAAAUUACAUGCA
rnacentral:lncRNA from 1 species